ensembl:lincRNA Gm20465 predicted gene 20465
AAAUUACCACACUAUUGUUCCAGGAUCCAGGAAACUCCCUAAAUGUACUAACCUCGCUUUCUGGCUGAACCAAGAGAAUUUGGGUCCCCAGUGAGUAGUUUUGCUUCUUACUUUCUGACUGAAGUGUGCCAACCAAGAUGUGGCUUUUGGGCAUAAAAGGCAAAGAAUGGUGAGGCUUGGGUCUGCAUGAUAUGGGCAAGUUCACCAUGCAUCUGCUGUGUCUCCUGGAGCAUCUCUCUGGAAUCUCCCUUUAUUCUUUCUCCCACUAUUUCCUGUCAGCGUCCCACCUCCUAUUUCCUGCCUCAGCUCAUUGGCCACUGGCUUUUUUAUCGACAGGUUUGUGUGCAUGAAUGCACGUGCCUGGGGAGACCAGAUGCGUCGGAUCUCUCAGAGCUGUGAGCCACCUUGGCUCUGGAAGAGCAGCAAGUAUUCUUAACCACUGAGCCAUCUCUCCAGCCACAGUAUCCUCUUCUGGAAAUGAGGAGUAUAAACAAGUUUUAAGCUUUUUUAAAAAGAACCUUCUUUUGUUUAGAUAGUUCCUGUAAGCAGUCUACCCUCUUGGACUCAAAGGCAUUAGAAUUUAUUAUUUAAAAUUUUUUUCAAUUAUUUUGUUUUUUUGUUUUAUGUGUAUGGGUAUUUUGCCUGCAUGUAUGUAUGUAUGUCUGUGCACCACAUGUAUCCCUCAUGCCCAAGGAAGGCAGAAAAUGAUUUUGGGUCCUCUGGAACUGGAGUUACAGAGAGUUGUAAACUGCCGUGUGGGUGCUGAGAAUUGACCCUGGGUCCUCUGGAAGAACAGCCAGUGCUUUUAACCACUGAGGCAGCUCCUUAGCCCAUUAUUUAUUUAUUCAUAUCCACCUAUUUUUACUUUAUAUGUUUUGUUUGCAUGCAUGUAUCAAGUGUAUUGCAGUGCUCCUGGAGACCAGAAGAGGGCAUUGGAUCACCUGGGACUGAACUCGAUAUGUGUGCUGGCAAUGGAACCCAGGUCUUCUGCAAGAACAGCAAGCAUUUUCCAGCUCUCCAGCCCCAGGCAUUAGAGUUCAUAUUCCUCGGUGCUUUUUCUAACCCCAGAAAUGACCCUCUGACACCACCAUCUCGGAAGGACCUUCCGCCUCAGAAAGGGCAUCCGGUUGCUAAACUACUCUGUUCUCCAUGAAUGAUCUGGGCAGGACCUGAUACCCCCAGCUGUUGUUUUGAUCAGCCCUGGCCUUGAGUGUCAUGGAAUACAGUCACCAUUGGCCCAGCUCUCCUUCUCGAUGCUGGGACAGCUGGCCAGCGUUUUUCAAAGGGGAGCCAGGCUGCGAUGGAGGUAGCAGGAGAGAAGGCAGGGAGGUGCUGAAAAUUGAUCUGGGUCCCCUGAAAGAGCAGCCAGUGCUCCUAACCACUGAGCCAUCUCCCCAGCUUCCUGUUUGGUUUGUUUGAGACAAGGUUGUACUGUGCCGUCCUGGCUGAUGAGCUGUAGAGAAAUGCCGACAGGCAACAGAAGGCCAAGGCCUUGAGGAAGAUCCUGUGCUUCACAGGAGAGGCUUCCUGUGAGAAGCAGGCAGACUGCCCCAGGAUGUCUUCAGUUUGUGCUGUCCUGGAUCCCUGCACAACCUCCUUCCCUGGCCCAAAUGCUUAAAGAGGCUGGAAGUACUGCACAUCCGAACCAGCUCUCUUUAGAAGUCAGAUAUCUACUGUGUUCGAGCAGCAGAGAAACAUUUUCUGUCCUCCUGGAAAGAGGCAGCCUAGAAUAGUCUAUAUCAUCUGUACCUGUGGAAGUCAGAACGGUGAGAAAAAAGUCCUAUGAGAAAAAAGCUGUCUCCCAGUGGGAGUCCUGGCCCCACUGUGACAACAGAACCCCCAGGAGAGCAAGCUGGAGGCUGGAGGAGCCACUGGCAAUUUGAAGAGUUGCUCCUAAUUGUUAUCAAUCAAAAUAAACGGUGGGUUUGACAG